AUUGAACGCUGGCGGCAUGCCUUACACAUGCAAGUCGAACGGCAGCACGGGUGCUUGCACCUGGUGGCGAGUGGCGAACGGGUGAGUAAUACAUCGGAACGUACCUUAUCGUGGGGGAUAACGCAGCGAAAGCUGUGCUAAUACCGCAUACGCCCUGAGGGGGAAAGCGGGGGAUCGCAAGACCUCGCGCGAUUAGAGCGGCCGAUGCCUGAUUAGCUUGUUGGUGGGGUAAAAGCCCACCAAGGCGACGAUCAGUAGCUGGUCUGAGAGGACGAUCAGCCACACUGGGACUGAGACACGGCCCAGACUCCUACGGGAGGCAGCAGUGGGGAAUUUUGGACAAUGGGGGCAACCCUGAUCCAGCAAUGCCACGUGAGUGAAGAAGGCCUUCGGGUUGUAAAGCUCUUUUGUCAGGGAAGAAACACCGGCUCUAACACAGUCCGGGAAUGACGGUACCUGAAGAAUAAGUACCGGCUAACUACGUGCCAGCCGCCGCCGUAA
rnacentral:rRNA from 1 species